CCUACGGGAGGCAGCAGUGGGGGAUAUUGCACAAUGGGGGAAACCCUGAUGCAGCGACGCCGCGUGGGUGAAGAAGCGCCUCGGCGCGUAAAGCCCUGUCAGCAGGGAAGAAAAUGACGGUACCUGAAGAAGAAGCCCCGGCUAACUACGUGCCAGCAGCCGCGGUAAUACGUAGGGGGCAAGCGUGAUCCGGAUUUACUGGGUGUAAAGGGGGCGUAGACGGCGAUGGAAGUCAGGAGUGAAAGCCCGGGGCCCAACCCCGGGACUGCUGUUGGAACUGCGUGACUAGAGUGCAGGAGGGGCAGGCGGAAUUCCUGGUGUAGCGGUGAAAUGCGUAGAUAUCAGGAGGAACACCGGUGGCGAAGGCAGCCUGCUGGACUGCAACUGACGUUGAGGCCCGAAAGCGUGGGGAGCAAACAGGAUUAGAUACCCCAGUAGUC
rnacentral:rRNA from 1 species